CCUACGGGGGGCAGCAGUGAGGAAUAUUGGUCAAUGGGCGAGAGUCUGAACCAGCCAAGUAGCGUGAAGGAUGACUGCCCUAUGGAUUGUAAACUUCUUUUAUAUGGGAGUAAAAUGUUCCACGUGUGGGAUUUUGUAUGUACCAGAUGAAUAAGGAUCGGCUAACUCCGUGCCAGCAGCCGCGGUAAUACGGAGGAUCCGAGCGUUAUCCGGAUUUAUUGGGUUUAAAGGGAGCGUAGGUGGAUUGUUAAGUCAGUGGGGAAAGUUGGCGGCUCAACCGUAACAUUGCCGUUGAAACUGGCAGUCUUGAGUACAGUAGAGGUGUGCGGAAUGCGUGGUGUAGCGGUGAAAUGCUUAGAUAUCACGCAGAACUCCGAUUGCGAAGGCAGCACACUGGACUUCAACUGACACUGAGGCUCGAAAGUGUGGGUAUCAAACAGGAUUAGAUACCCUUGUAGUC
rnacentral:rRNA from 1 species